rnacentral:rRNA from 1 species
AAAGAAAGCGUAAUAGCUCACUGGUCGAGUCGGCCUGCGCGGAAGAUGUAACGGGGCUAAACCAUGCACCGAAGCUGCGGCAGCGACGCUUAUGCGUUGUUGGGUAGGGGAGCGUUCUGUAAGCCUGCGAAGGUGUACUGUGAGGUAUGCUGGAGGUAUCAGAAGUGCGAAUGCUGACAUAAGUAACGAUAAAGCGGGUGAAAAGCCCGCUCGCCGGAAGACCAAGGGUUCCUGUCCAACGUUAAUCGGGGCAGGGUGAGUCGACCCCUAAGG